rnacentral:rRNA from 1 species
CCUACGGGGGGCAGCAGUGGGGAAUAUUGGACAAUGGGGGCAACCCUGAUCCAGCCAUGCCGCGUGUGUGAAGAAGGCCCUCGGGUUGUAAAGCACUUUCAGUGAGGAAGAACGCCUGGUGGUUAAUACCCAUCAGGAAAGACAUCACUCACAGAAGAAGCACCGGCUAACUCCGUGCCAGCAGCCGCGGUAAUACGGAGGGUGCGAGCGUUAAUCGGAAUUACUGGGCGUAAAGCGCGCGUAGGUGGCUUGAUAAGCCGGUUGUGAAAGCCCCGGGCUCAACCUGGGAACGGCAUCCGGAACUGUCAAGCUAGAGUGCAGGAGAGGAAGAUAGAAUUCCCGGUGUAGCGGUGAAAUGCGUAGAGAUCGGGAGGAAUACCAGUGGCGAAGGCGGCCUUCUGGACUGACACUGACACUGAGGUGCGAAAGCGUGGGUAGCAAACAGGAUUAGAUACCCCGGUAGUC